CAUUACCAUUGCGCGUCCUGCGACCAUUGCUUUGUCCCCUAAUUUCAAUGAUUCUGCUUAUCACUGCAUUAUGAUCAUCAUGAACAUCCUAGACCAUCGCCUCACACACCAUCGCUGCAUCUUGCACCAUUGCUCCGUUUUGCACCACCACACCAUCCCGCACAAUCCUUCAAUCCCUCCUCCCACGCGACCCCAUGCCAUUCCCACCUCCUCCCCACGCCAUCGCUCCAUCCCGUACCAUUGCUCCUUCACGCACUAUCGUUUUAUUCUGCACCAUCACUGCAUCCCGCACCACUGCUCCGUCCCACACUAUCCUUCCACCGCGACCACACCCAGACCACAUCAUUUCCCCAUCCCGCACCAUCACUCCAUCCCACCUUAUCCUUCAACCUCACACUAUCACUCUAUCUUACACAAUCACUGCAUCCUACAAUAUGACUCCAUCCCACACCAUCACUCCAUCCCACACCAUCAUUCAAUCUUCCACCAUCACUUCACCUUGCAUCACUCCAUCCCGUCCCAUCACUCCAUCCUGCACCAUCACUCCAACAUGCAGUCACUGUGUCCCACAUCAUCGCUCUGACCUGCACCAUUGCUCCAUCCCACACCAUCACUUUGCCCCGCACCAUCUCUUCAUCUUGCACCAUUGCUCCAUCCCGCAUUCUCACUGCAUUCCACACCAUCACUCCGUAUUCCGCACUAAUUGCUCGAUUCGGUAAUCUACCAUACCAUCUCGUGACCACUCCACUCCAUCCCGUGAUAUCUGCCCCACAUCGUCACUGUCCCACAUCAUCGCUCCAUCCUGCAGCAUCGCUGGACAUCCCAUGCCACUGCUUCUUUCCACACCAUUGCCUCAUCCUGUACCAUUGCCCCAUCCACACCACCGCUCUGUCCUGCACCAUCAUUCCAUGCCACAACAUCGCUUCAUCCCAAACCAUCACUCCUUCUUGCACCAUCGCUCCAUCCAGAAUCAUUGCUCCGUCUUGCUCCAUCACUCCGUCCUGCACCAUCACGUUAUCUCACUCCAUUGCUUUGUUCCGCACUAUCACUCCAUCUCGCACUAUCACUGCAUGCUGCACCAUCACUCCGUCCCACAUCAUCACUCUGUCCUAUUGCCACACCAUUGCUCCAUCCUACACCUGUCUCUUGUCCCCUGACCCAGCACCCAGCCCCUGCACCCAUUGCUCCAUCCUACAUUACCCAUCCCCACAUCAUCAUUCAAUCCUGCACCAUCACUCCAUCCCGCACCAUCCUUUGUCCCACCAUCACCCAUCUCAUGCCUUCAUCACCUAUCUCACCCUACCCUUCAAUCCUGCACCAUGUCUUCAUCCCACACCAUCACUCCAUCCCACACUACCCUUCAAUCCUGUGCCAUCACUCCAUCCUGCACCAUGUCUCCAUCCCACACCAUCACUCCAUUCCACACCAUCUCUAUUAUCACCACCCAUUCCAUACCCAUCACCUUAUCCCACAUCAUCACUCCAUCCCACACCAUUCCUAUACGCAUCAUCAUCGACCUAUAUCAUCCCAUCCUCACAUUCAUCCCACAUCAUCACUCCAUCCCCCACACCAUAAAGGUGCUGUGAGGGGUGAGCAUGUGGGGUUUGGGUGGCGGGAUGAGAGAGCCUCCCUGGGGUGAACAGGAGGGCCCCUGGCUCGGGUGGUCUCUCCUCUGGUCAUGAUGCAUCACUACCAUAGUGUCACCCUGGUGGGGGAGUCUCUGUUGGAUGGCACACCAUGUGACAUUCCAGAUACUGGCCACGAGUGCCCUCUGCCAGGCUCCAACACUUUCGCUAAAUACUUUUAAUAACUCAUUUUUUAAAGUAAUCAGGAGGCUACUCUACUUGUGAAAAGAGUUAAAGAAGCCCCAGUCCAGGGUUCUGUGGUAGUGAAAGGGAUGUGAGCUUCAGGCGGAGGGAGCCUCUGCUUGGAUUCCUGGUGAGAUGCCCAGAGGCACUUAGGAAUGAGCCAGAAAGACUUUUCAAAAAAAAAAAUUAAAUUCAGUAGGAUCAUGCUGACUGUCCAGCCUUCAGCACCAUCCAGCAGCCAUCAAGUCCCUGUGGAGGGUCCCCGUGGUACCGAGCUCAGCUUGCUUUUUGCCCUGAGCUCUCCUGGGAGAAGCAGUCAGGGAUGGAGUGAGAGAAGGUGCCACCCUGGAGCAUGUACAGUCUUGGCACCUUCUCCUACUUGCCUGGAACCUUGGCUCAGUGAUGCCCUUCCUGUGAGGUGUGGUUUCCCACUCAUAAGAUGGGGAUGGCACAGACCUCAGAAGGCUGAUGUUGGCUACAAAUGUAAAACUGACAUACACUGUCAAAAAAUAAAGCAUUUUUUUUUUUCUUUGAGAUGGACUUUUGUUCUUGUUGGCCCAGGCUGAGGCAGUGCAUGGAUCUCAGAUCACUGCAACCUCCACCUCCCGGUUCAAGUGGGAUUCUCCUGCCUCAGCCUCCCUGAGUAGCUAGGGAUUACAGGCGCAGCCAUCACAUCUGGCUAAUUUUGUAUUUUUAAUAGAGAUGGGGUUUCACCAUGUUGGCCAGGUUGGUCUCAAACUCCUGACCUUGGGAUCUGCCCGACUCAGCCUCCCAAAGUGCUGGGAUUACAGGUGUGAGCCACCUCGCCUGGCCAAAAACAAGCAUCUUUUUUGUGUGUGUGUGUGUCAAACAGUUUAAUUCAUGGAAAGAAAACAGCUUACAACAAAUCAUUUAAAAAGCAUGCUUACAUUUACCUUUUAUACCUGCGUUUGUACACCUGUGUGUUGUGAGUCCAUAGAGUAAGAAGCAUGCUCCAAUGAUACUUUCUCAGUGUUUCCUAUACAGGGGUUUCUCUGUCAUAUGCUGCCAUUCAGUAAAAAAAAACCUGAUUAUGAUGCAAUCUUUAUAGCUUCUGUUUACAUCUAUAAGGAUAAUGGCCUCCAGCUCCAUCCAUGUUCCUGCAAAUGACGUGAUUUCAUUCUUUUUUUAUGGCUGCCUAGUAUUCCAUGGUGUAUAUUUACUGCAUUUUCUUUAUCCAGUCCAUCAUUGAUGGGCACUUGGGUUGAUUCCAUGUCUUUGCUAUUCUGAAUACUGCUACAAUGAACGUAUGCAUGCAUGUGUCUUUAUAAGAGAAUGAUUUAUAUUCCUUUGGGUAUAUACCCAGUGAUAUGGUUGGGUGGUGUCCCCAUCCAAAUCUCAUCAUGAAUUGUAGCUCCCAUAAUCCUCAUGUGUCGCGGGAGGGACCAGGUGCAGAUAAUUGAAUCUGAUAAUUUCUCCCAUCCUGUUCUUGUGAUAGUGAGUUAGUUCUCAUGAGAUCUGAUGGUUUUAUAAGGGACUUUUCCCCUUUUGGCUCAGCACUUCUUCCUGCCGCCAUGUGAAGAAGGACAUGUUUGCUUCCCCUUCCGCCAUGAUUGUAGUUUCCUGAGACUUCCCCAGCCAUGCUGAACUGUGAGUCAAUUAAACCUCUUUCCAUUACAAAUUACCCAGCCUUGGGUAUGUCUUUAUUAGCAGUGUGAAAACAGACUAAUACACCUAGUAAUGGUAUUGCUGGGUCAAAUGGUAGUUCUGUUUUUAGCUCUUUCAGGAAUCACCACACUGUUUUCCACAAUGGUUGAACUGAUUUACACUCCCACCAACAACGUGUAAGCAUUCCUUUUUCCCUGCAACCUCACCAGCAUAUGUUAUAUUUUGACUUUUUCAUAACAGUCAUUCUGACCGGUGUGAGAUGGUAUCUCAUUUCAGUUUUGAUUUGCAUUUCCCUAAUGAUCAGUGAUGUUGAGCUUUUUUUCAUAUGUUUAUUGGCCACGUGUAUGUCUUCUUUUGAAAAGUGUCUGUUCAUGUUCUUUGCCAACUUUUCAAUAAGGUUGUUUUUUUCUUGUAAAUCUGUUUAAGUUCCUUUUAAAUGCUGGAUAUUAAACCUUUGUCAGAUGCAGUUCACAGAAAUGUUCUCCCAUUCUGUAGGUUGUCUGUUUACUCUGCUGAUAGUUUCUUUUGCUGUGCAGAAGCCCUUUAGUUUAAUUAGACCCCAUCUGUCAAUUUUUGCUUUUGCUGCAAUUGCUUUUGGCAUCUUCGUCACAAACUCUUUGCCCAUUCCUAUGUCCAGAAUGGUAUUGCCUAGGUUGUCUUCCAUAGUUUUUACAGUUUUAUAUCUUACAUUUAAGUCCUUAAUCCAUCUUGAGUUGAUUUUUUACAUACGGUAUAAGAAAGGGGUCUAGUUUCAGUCUUCUGCAUAUGGCUAGGCAGUUAUCCAAGCACCAUUUAUUGAAUGGGGAGUCCUUUCCCCAUUGCUUGUUUUUGUCAGCUUUGUCAAAGAUCAGAUGGUAGGUGUGUGGCCUUAUUUCUGGGCUCUCUAUUCCAUUCCAUUGAUCUAUGUGUCUGUUUUUCUACCAGUAUCGUGCUGUUUUGGUUACUGUAGUCCUGCAAUAUAAAGUCAGAUAGUGUGAUGCCUUGUUCUUUUUGCUUAGGAUUGCCUUGGCUAUUUGGGCUCCUUUUGGGUCUAUAUGAAUUUUAAAAUCAUUUUUUCUUAGUUUUGUGAAGAAUGUCAUUGGUAGUUUGACAGGAAUACUGUUGAAUUUAUAAAUUGCUUUAAUGAUAUUGAUCCUUCCUAUCCAUGAACAUGGACUCUUUUUACAUUUGUUUGUGUCAUCUCUGAUUUCUCUAAGCAGUGGUUUGUAGCUCUCCAUGUAGAGUCUUCCACCUCCUUAGCUAUAUUCCUAGAUAUCUUAUUCUUUUUGUGGCAAUUGUGAAUAAGAUUGCACUCCUGAUUUGGUUCUCGGCUUGACUGUUGAAAAACAAGAAUUCUUUCUUUCUUUCCUUUUUUUUUUUUUUUUUUUUUUUUGAGAGAGAGCAUCUCACUCUCUCAAAAACCGAGGCUGGAGUGCAGUGGUGCGAUCUUGGCUCACUGCAACCUCUGCCUCCAAGGUUCAAGUGAUUCUCUAGCCUCAGCCUCCUGAGUAGUUGGGGUUAUAGGCAUGUGUCACCAUACCUGGGUAUUUUUUUUGUAUUUUUACUUGAGAUGGGGUUUUGGCAUGCUGGCCUGGUUGGUCUUGAACUCCUGGCCUCAGGUGAUCUGCCUACCUUGGCCUCCCAAAGUGCUAGGAUUACAGGUGUAAGCCACUGUGCCCAGCCGAAAAAUAAGGAUUCUUAAAUGUGCCCACCUCUGCCUUGCUCUGAAGAGGCUGGGUGCCCGGCAAGGAUGAUUUGGGGAGUGCGGGAUCAUG
rnacentral:lncRNA from 1 species